rnacentral:rRNA from 1 species
AGUGAACGCUGGCGGCAGGCCUAACACAUGCAAGUCGAGCGGCAGCGCGGGGGCAACCCUGGCGGCGAGCGGCGGACGGGUGAGGAAUUCGUCGGAAUCUGCCUUUUUGUGGGGGAUAACGUAGGGAAACUUACGCUAAUACCGCAUACGUCCUACGGGAGAAGGUGGGGGACCGCAAGGCCUCACGCAGAAAGAUGAGCCGACGACCGAUUAGCUAGUUGGUGGGGUAAAGGCCCACCAAGGCGACGAUCGGUAGCUGGUCUGAGAGGAUGAUCAGCCACACUGGGACUGAGACACGGCCCAGACUCCUACGGGAGGCAGCAGUGGGGAAUAUUGGACAAUGGGCGCAAGCCUGAUCCAGCCAUGCCGCGUGUGUGAAGAAGGCCUUCGGGUUGUAAAGCACUUUUGUCCGGAAAGAAAUCCCUGGAGCUAAUACCUUCGGGGGAUGACGGUACCGGAAGAAUAAGCACCGGCUAACUUCGUG